AUUGAACGCUGGCGGCAUGCCUUACACAUGCAAGUCGAACGGCAGCACGGGUGCUUGCACCUGGUGGCGAGUGGCGAACGGGUGAGUAAUACAUCGGAACAUGUCCUGUAGUGGGGGAUAGCCCGGCGAAAGCCGGAUUAAUACCGCAUACGAUCCACGGAUGAAAGCGGGGGACCUUCGGGCCUCGCGCUAUAGGGUUGGCCGAUGGCUGAUUAGCUAGUUGGUGGGGUAAAGGCCUACCAAGGCGACGAUCAGUAGCUGGUCUGAGAGGACGACCAGCCACACUGGGACUGAGACACGGCCCAGACUCCUACGGGAGGCAGCAGUGGGGAAUCUUGGACAAUGGGCGAAAGCCUGAUCCAGCAAUGCCGCGUGUGUGAAGAAGGCCUUCGGGUUGUAAAGCACUUUUGUCCGGAAAGAAAUCCUUGGCUCUAAUACAGUCGGGGGAUGACGGUACCGGAAGAAUAAGCACCGGCUAACUACGCG
rnacentral:rRNA from 1 species